UUCUAAAUGUCAAGCUGGAAAUAACAUAACAUAGAUUAACAUGUUUGGUAUGUUAUUCAAAAAUCUAACAUCGACUAUGCAAGAAAACAAAUCUCAUAAAUGACUACGUGACAUUCAACGUCAUUUUGUCUUCCUCUUGCUCUUUCUUGUUGAACUUUUCCCCAAUUCCUGCAUAAAUUCAAAAAAAUAAAUUAUGUUCCAUACACAUACUAAGUAAAUUAACUGAAAAGUAUAACCGAUAACAAUAUAUAGAAAGGUGAAACAUCCAAACGAAUGUUUAUAUUGUUCUAUUCAUCUCUUCUCUCAUCUAAUAAAUUGGUGAAAAAUAAGUAAACCAAAAUUUCGUAUAUAUUCACGGAACAAUAAGUAUGAGUGCAUUAACAGUUUCUUAUUUAGUUGCUUUCUGGAUCAACCAUCUAGUCAUCCCAAUCGAUAAAUUUGGCAUACAAGCUUUAACUAGAUCUAAGGAUACCUGCAACAAAGACCAUUUGACAAUCCUCAUAUAAGUUUAGAUAUGUUACAGAGACACGCGUACACAUGUUAAAAUUCACAUAAUGAAAUACAUUUAUUCUCACUAGUUUCUUUAAAUAUUAGCUUUAGACAUAAGGAUCCCUAAAGAAGAAGUUUAACUACACGAUUCGUCAAAACAAUACAAAGACAUAAAAGUAAGAAGACUAGAAAACUCAAAAGCUUACCUUUAUAGAUAGAGGAUUCAUGAUAGAGCAAAGUAGUUCAAAUUGAAGAGGGAUGACCAAAAGCUCACCAAGGACCUUCUUUUGGAUUGAAUAUGCCAUAGCAAUAAAAGGGAUGUAUCAAGAUGUUUACAUUAGAUGCUAAAAAGAACCAAGGCACACUAAAGGUGUAGCAUGUUAGCAAUGUAUAUACUAAGCACCCUAAAACAUAUUACUCUCAUAGUGACAUUGAUUAGCAUAGAUGAUCAUUAUCUUGCAUCUCAACAAGUACUUGAACAACACUUCCCCAACAAAGAUAAGUUCUAUAAAAUUUGCUUCCAUAAAUUCAUUCUUGUAGGAUUCCAAUUAAAGUUCAUAUUAUCUUGCACAUUGAACUACUAAAUUAAGAAUAAGAGCACGGAACCUUCAUCUGUUUUAUGCUCUUUCAAACAUUUCCAGCUAUGCCCAGAAUAAUGACAACAACUAUCUGGAAAACGAAUACUCCUCCAGUCAAUUUGUCAAUCAUGGCAGCUUAAAAUGUAAGCUUUGGUUCAGGUACACUCCUACACAUGCCUAGUUUUGUCUAAUGGCCUGUAAUUAAAAAUAGAUGGAGAGUUAGCCCAGAAAUGACUUUGAUAUCUAUUAAUAAAGAAGCAAAGUAAUACAGCUUGCAGAAAUAAAAUGAAUGGCCGAGAUAAUGAUUUUCGCUUAAGGUCACACUACGUCAUCAUGAAUCUCUUUUACAUUUUUACUAUGGAAACUAAACCUAUAGACACUAAAUAGGGAUGCACUUUAUCAUGGCGUCUCAAGAAUCAUCCAUCUAUUUUAGUAAUCUUAUAUUUGAAGGCAAUAUGUUCCCAAGGAAGCAGUAGCAGACGUAUAUACCAAAUACCAUCACAAAAGCACACAUGAGCUCUAACUAGAAGGGGGGAAAUCAGAACAUAGAUAAAACAACCAUAUUACCAAUUUACAAGAAAAAAACAUUACCGUACUCAAUAAUUAGUAUCUACAAUCUUAAAUAAUUCUUCAAGUUCUCUAACCUAAAACCCUCAAAAAAAUACAAAAAAAUUAUUUUUUACAUCCAAUUUACAUUUUACACAGCAUCCCUCAUAACCAUAAUUACACAAAAAUGAAAGGAAUUAUAAUAUUCGAGCCCCAUUUUGGAAUUAGGGCAAACAGAAUAGCCCUUUUCUGAGGCAAAUAAGUGAACAAACAACUAACAUGAGGCUAACGAGCCAGCGGCGGUGAUCAUUGAGGAGGUUGGCCGUGCGCGUCGCCGUCGAACUCAAAAGCGAGGGGGAGGAAAUAGCGCUUGCUGCCGCCAGCAGCAGUGGGCUCUGAGGUUAGAGAACAUAAGAGAUGUUCGUUCUCUCAUUAGUUGGUUCCGCUUAGUUUAGGGCUAAAAUGUGU
rnacentral:lncRNA from 1 species